UAUUUAUAAGUUCUCUGUAUGACAUCUUCAACUGUCAUACGGUAAUUUUUUCGCCAAGAAAUUAGCAGUAUCAGCGAGUGCAGUGAUUUUUGGAUUUAUUCCGAUAUUUCUACAAAAAAUAAAAAUAAAUAAAUCUUAACAAAAUGACCAACGCAUGGAGAGCAGCUGGACUUACCUAUAUCCAAUACUCCAACAUCUGCGCUCGUGUUGUGCGUGAGGCGCUGAAGUCCAAUCUGAAAGCCGAUGCCGCCAAGCGCAAUGAGACACAUGUCAAAUUCACACCAUGGGCUAAUGGCAAACCAGCACAUGAGAAGUAAUAUCUUCACACGCUAUAUACUUCUAUUAGCUAAAGCAACGAAAUGAAUGUAGCCGCGUUGAAGAAUCUGCCUAAGCCAUUCCUUUUGGCAACGCUUUUACCAGCUCCAGCCAACAACAUCAUGGUUAAUUUCAUUUGAGUUACAGGAAUUUCCUUUGCUGUAUUCGAUUAUUUAUUAAUUAAUAAAAGGACAAGUCUCGUAAAACACAAA